UUAACUAUUAUAUAGUACUCAGACGAUAUUAUUAAACAAGAGUUUUGGGUCCUCUGGCGAGCACUCACCAGCGUUAAAAGCCGGUGGCCGAAGCGGCUCGCCAAAGCAACAAAGGUAUAAAUUAACAUAGGGUUGGAGAGUCACCCUUGCGGGCGAGUUUCUCUGUAAUGAUCCCUCCGCAGGUUCACCUACGGAGA
rnacentral:misc_RNA from 1 species